rnacentral:rRNA from 1 species
UACGUAGGUGGCAAGCGUUGUCCGGAUUUACUGGGCGUAAAGGGCGUGCAGGCGGUUUGUUAAGUGCAGGGUGAAAGCUCCCGGCUCAACUGGGAGAGGUCCUUGCAUACUGGCGAACUCGAGGGAGGCAGAGGAAAGUGGAAUUCCCGGUGUAGUGGUGAUAUGCGUAGAUAUCGGGAGGAACACCAGUGGCGAAGGCGACUACCUGGCCUGUUCUUGACGCUGAGGCGCGAAAGCUAGGGGAGCAAACGGG